AUCCCCGUAGUCUAACAGAUAGAAUACUUGGCUACGAACCAGGUGAUGAGGGUGCAACUCCUUCCGGGGAUG
rnacentral:tRNA from 1 species